rnacentral:tRNA from 1 species
GGACGAUUAGCUCAGUUGGGAGAGCGUCUGGGUCACAACCAGAAUGUCAGCGGUUCGAGCCCGUUAUCGUCCA